rnacentral:rRNA from 1 species
CCUACGGGAGGCAGCAGUGAGGAAUAUUGGUCAAUGGCCGCAGGGCUGAACCAGCCAAGUCGCGUGAGGGAUGACGGUCCUAUGGAUUGUAAACCUCUUUUGUCAGGGAGCAAAGGGCGCCACGUGUGGCGCUUUGCGAGUACCUGAAGAAAAAGCAUCGGCUAACUCCGUGCCAGCAGCCGCGGUAAUACGGAGGAUGCGAGAGUUAUCCGGAUUUAUUGGGUUUAAAGGGUGCGCAGGCGGAAUGUCAAGUCAGCGGUAAAAUUUCGGGGCUCAACCCCGUCGUGCCGUUGAAACUGGCGUUCUUGAGUGAGCGAGAAGUAUGCGGAAUGCGUGGUGUAGCGGUGAAAUGCAUAGAUAUCACGCAGAACUCCGAUUGCGAAGGCAGCAUACCGGCGCUCAACUGACGCUCAUGCACGAAAGCGUGGGUAUCGAACAGGAUUAGAUACCCCAGUAGUC